UACGGGGGGGGCAAGCGUUGUUCGGAAUUACUGGGCGUAAAGCGUGCGCAGGCGGUGAUGUAAGACAGUUGUGAAAUCCCCGGGCUCAACCUGGGAACUGCAUCUGUGACUGCAUCGCUGGAGUGCGGCAGAGGGGAUGGAAUUCCGCGUGUAGCAGUGAAAUGCGUAGAUAUGCGGAGGAACACCGAUGGCGAAGGCAAUCCCCUGGGCCUGCACUGACGCUCAUGCACGAAAGCGUGGGGAGCAAACAGG
rnacentral:rRNA from 1 species